CGUNCANGGGUNAACCUGCGNAACUCGAAUGAACGAACGGGGAGAUUCAUCGUCAUUCGACGGACGACUUCACGGCUGCGUGAUGUGUGGCCCGCCGGCGAUCUCGGUCGCCGGUUGUGAGUUGCAUACGUGCGCUGUGUCGUUACACUGUCCGUUGACGGCGUGCACUUCUCCCUUAGUACUGCAUCGCGACCCGCUCGGUGUCGGUCUAAGCGCCUUCCGGGAGCCCGUGACGCUUCGCGCGUCGCGGACCGUGUUGGACGCCGACCGACUGUCGGGCGGUAGUGAAUUUGAAACGCGCACGCGCUCGUCGCGUUCGGCCCGACGCAAGGUCGUCGUGAUGCCGCUGUUACGCCUCUGUGCGUUCAGUGUGCGUCCGAUGCCUGCUCAUGGCAGCCGUGUCGUCUCGAACGUGCGCGAAUCGAGUCUGCGAUGUUUUUGUUUUGGGCACUCGCAGGACCCGUCUUGAAACACGGACCAAGGAGUCUAGCAUGUGUGCAAGUCAAUAGGUUCAUUAAUAAACCGAAAGGCGUAACGAAAGUGAAGGCGCACGCUUGACGUGCGCUCGGGGAGGAUGACGUCGGCUCUCGCGGUCGGCGUCCGCACUCCCGAGGCGUCCCGUUCGCAAUCUGUCGAUGUGGGCGCGCUCAGAGCACAAAUGCUGGGACCCGAAAGAUGGUGAACUAUGCCUGGUCAGGUCGAAGUCAGGGGAAACCCUGAUGGAGGACCGUAGCGAUUCUGACGUGCAAAUCGAUCGUCGGAACUGGGUAUAGGGGCGAAAGACUAUCGANC
rnacentral:rRNA from 1 species